rnacentral:rRNA from 1 species
AUUGAACGCUGGCGGCAGGCCUAACACAUGCAAGUCGAGCGGAUGAAGGGAGCUUGCUCCUGGAUUCAGCGGCGGACGGGUGAGUAAUGCCUAGGAAUCUGCCUGGUAGUGGGGGAUAACGUCCGGAAACGGGCGCUAAUACCGCAUACGUCCUGAGGGAGAAAGUGGGGGAUCUUCGGACCUCACGCUAUCAGGUGAGCCUAGGUCGGAUUAGCUAGUUGGUGGGGUAAAGGCCUACCAAGGCGACGAUCCGUAACUGGUCUGAGAGGAUGAUCAGUCACACUGGAACUGAGACACGGUCCAGACUCCUACGGGAGGCAGCAGUGGGGAAUAUUGGACAAUGGGCGAAAGCCUGAUCCAGCCAUGCCGCGUGUGUGAAGAAGGUCUUCGGAUUGUAAAGCACUUUAAGUUGGGAGGAAGGGCAGUAAGUUAAUACCUUGCUGUUUUGACGUUACCGACAGAAUAAGCACCGGCUAACUUCGUG